GACGAACGCUGGCGGCGUGCUUAACACAUGCAAGUCGAACGGACAGGCCCUGCUUUUGUUUGUUUCUCGUUUGGCGCACGGGGGUGUAACACGUGAGUAACCUCCCCUUGACUUUGUGAUAACUUUUGGGAACUGCGUCUCUUACCGGAUAUGAUCUCCUGCUGCAUGGUGUUGGUUGGUAAGUUUCGGCGGUUGUGGAUGGACUCGCUGCUUAUCAGCUUGUUUGUGUGGUAGUUGCUGACCAAGGGUUUGAAGGCUAGCCGGCCUGAGAGGGUUACCGGGGACAAGGGGACUGAGAUACGGACCAGAAUCGUACGGGAGGCAGCAGUGGAGAGUAUUGCAGAAUGGGCGGAAGCCUGAGACAGAAACGCCGCGAGCGGGAUAACGGGUUACGGGUGGUAAACAGAUGUGGAAUGUGACGAAGAGUGAGUGACGGUAAUGAGUAAGAAAGCAACGGCUAACUACGUG
rnacentral:rRNA from 1 species